GAUGAACGCUGGCGGCGUGCCUAAUACAUGCAAGUCGAGCGAACAGAUAAGGAGCUUGCUCCUUUGACGUUAGCGGCGGACGGGUGAGUAACACGUGGGUAACCUACCUAUAAGACUGGGAUAACUUCGGGAAACCGGAGCUAAUACCGGAUAACAUUUGGAACCGCAUGGUUCUAAAGUGAAAGAUGGUUUUGCUAUCACUUAUAGAUGGACCCGCGCCGUAUUAGCUAGUUGGUAAGGUAACGGCUUACCAAGGCGACGAUACGUAGCCGACCUGAGAGGGUGAUCGGCCACACUGGAACUGAGACACGGUCCAGACCCCUACGGGAGGCAGCAGUAGGGAAUCUUCCGCAAUGGGCGAAAGCCUGACGGAGCAACGCCGCGUGAGUGAUGAAGGGUUUCGGCUCGUAAAACUCUGUUAUUAGGGAAGAACAAAUGUGUAAGUAACUGUGCACGUCUUGACGGUACCUAAUCAGAAAGCCACGGCUAACUACGUG
rnacentral:rRNA from 1 species